rnacentral:lncRNA from 11 species
CUACUACUACUACUAGCACUACUACUACUAUUAUUAUUAUUAUUAUUAUUGUGUUGCCGUGAACCAUGAAAAUGAACACAGUCUGGUUCCAAGUAUUAAAAAACUCUAAAAUCAGAACAGUAAAUAAAAAAUGACACUCUGAAAACAGGGGAAUUCCAGACAUGAAACAAUCAGUGCCAGCUAACAUCUCCCAACAAAAGAUUCCCCCAGGGAGGAAGCAGCCAGGCUUUGAAGCUUAAAGGCCAUUACAUGCUAAUCAUUCUAGCUAAUUUCAGCAUUCAUAAUUGCCUCCAACAGACAAAAAAAAAAGGAACAACCAGAAAUAUUGUAUAUUCACAAGCUUUAAGAAAUAACAUAUACUAACUACCACCAAUUCCACAAUACUUUAUUUCCCAUACCACCACACUUCGCCACAGCAACGUGUGGCCGGGCACAGCUAGUCUAGUUUAUAAAUUGACAGGCAACUUGAAGGCAAACACAUACACAGAGUCCAAAAAGAAACUUCUGAGCUCUGAAGUAUUUAGUCUCCCUUCUGCUCCUGGAUCGUAUUGCUUUCUUCAUCUCCUCCACUUGGCUCACCUGGUUUUGACUCUGCUAGCCAAUGGAGAGGAUCAACUGGAGAAAUAUGUCCUUUGUUAUCUGCUGGGUAAUGCUACAAGCUAGCCCCUGCCCCAAUCCUUCCAUAAUGUUCACAAGACCCCAUCACACGGACAAGACCUUGUCGAAGGCAUUAGCAGAACCCUAAAUGCCACUUCUGCUCUGUGUUCCAUAAACUCCAGCCUCUACUGAAUUGAACAAUUAACAUGAUUUGAAUCAUUGCACUUCAAUGGACAAACUACUGUAGUUUUUUUUUAGAACUGAUACAUCUAAGAUCCCUUCUACACUGCCAGAUAAUCCAGGUGAUCAAAGCAGAUAAUCAACAUUAUCUGAUUUGAAAUGGAAUAUCUUAGUCUAUGCUGCCAUAUAAUCCAGUUCAAAGCAGAUAAUGUGGAUUUUAUACAGCUGUGUAGAAGGGCCCUAAGUCAUAUUGAAAAGAGAACAAGCUGAUUUUCUACUACUCCAAAGACUAAAAUCUGGUCAUGUAAGUGGGAUUUAUUGUUAUAAUUGUAUUGUUUUACUUUGUUUAAUAAUGUGUAUUAUGUUGUUAUGUAAUGUUUGUGUUUGCUUUUAUGACUGUAAACCGCCCUGAGUCCCAUCCGGGAGAUAGGGCGGUAUAUAAAUAAAGUUUUAUUAUUAUUAUUAUAAGGUCUCUUCUACACAGCUGUAUAGAAUCCAGAUUAUCUGCUUUGAACUGGAAUAUAGACUCAGAUAAUCUGGUUCAAAGAUGAUAAUGUGAAUUAUCUGCCUCGAUAUUCUGGAUUAUAUGGCAAUGUAGAAGGGCCCUAAGACAUGGAGCAACAUAUUCAAACUACAAGAAAAGAGAGUCCACCUAAAUAUUAGGAAAA